CCUACGGGAGGCAGCAGUGGGGUAAUUUUGGACAAUGGGCGCAAGCCUGAUCCAGCAAUGCCGCGUGAGUGAAGAAGGCCUUCGGGUUGUAAAGCUCUUUUGUCAGGGAAGAAACGGCUGAGGCUAAUAUCCUCGGCUAAUGACGGUACCUGAAGAAUAAGCACCGGCUAACUACGUGCCAGCAGCCGCGGUAAUACGUAGGGUGCAAGCGUUAAUCGGAAUUACUGGGCGUAAAGCGUGCGCAGGCGGUUUUGUAAGUCUGUCGUGAAAGCCCCGGGCUUAACCUGGGAAUUGCGAUGGAGACUGCAAGGCUUGAAUCUGGCAGAGGGGGGUAGAAUUCCACGUGUAGCAGUGAAAUGCGUAGAGAUGUGGAGGAACAUCGAUGGCGAAGGCAGCCCCCUGGGUCAAGAUUGACGCUCAUGCACGAAAGCGUGGGGAGCAAACAGGAUUAGAUACCCUGGUAGUCCACGCCCUAAACGAUGUCUACUAGUUGUCGGGCCUUAAUUGACUUGGUAACGCAGCUAACGCGUGAAGUAGACCGCCUGGGGAGUACGGUCGCAAGAUUAAAAACUCAAAGGAAUUGACGG
rnacentral:rRNA from 1 species